rnacentral:rRNA from 1 species
AUACGUAGGGUGCGAGCGUUGUCCGGAAUUACUGGGCGUAAAGAGCUCGUAGGUGGUUUGUCGCGUCGUCUGUGAAAUUCCGGGGCUUAACUCCGGGCGUGCAGGCGAUACGGGCAUAACUUGAGUACUGUAGGGGAGACUGGAAUUCCUGGUGUAGCGGUGAAAUGCGCAGAUAUCAGGAGGAACACCGGUGGCGAAGGCGGGUCUCUGGGCAGUAACUGACGCUGAGGAGCGAAAGCAUGGGUAGCGAACAGGAUUAGAUACCCUGGUAGUCCAUGCCGUAAACGGUGGGCGCUAGGUGUAGGGGUCUUCCACGACUUCUGUGCCGUAGCUAACGCAUUAAGCGCCCCGCCUGGGGAGUACGGCCGCAAGGCUAAAACUCAAAUGAAUUGGCGGG